GGGGUUGGAACUGGAGGAGCACUGUGGGCCUUUUCAACCCAGGCCAUUCUAUGAUUCUAUGAUUCAAUCUGAGCUAUUCAGACCCGUCUCCAUUUGCAGCCAGUAAUACACUGUUACAAGGAGAUGCAUUUCUGCACGUGCCUUCUACAGAUCUGCAUUUCCUAGGAUGAAUUCCAAACCUGCUGUUAGGAAAAUGAGUGCUUCAUUUUAACCAUAUAAAAUGGCAGAAUUUAUUUGAUCACGUGACGCUGAUUCUGAACUACUAUGCUGAACAGAAUGUGUCCUGCAAGCCACCCCUCCAUGCUCUGACAGCUUAGAUCCAUAAGUUCUCUCUUAGGAACAGGGGUGCACAGGUCUCUGGUUGCAGACAGGAGAUACUCAGUUCACAACGUGUGGCUGUUCUGAACAGGAACAGAUAAAUGGACAGGAAAGGAAACAGUUCAGGAAAGUAUACUCCUUUCUUUAGAGGGUGGAUGACAAGAACAUGACACCUCCAAAGGCUGAUGGUAUAACGGCAAUGCAGAGAACUGCUGCAGCUUUCUGAGACCACACAGCAGCUGAAGCAGCAGAUUGCGUCCUGUGUUGUGUGAGCGCAUCCUACAAUGCUUUGUUACCCCCAAAUACUGCUGUUUUUUCAAACGUAUUUAAUGUUUAAAUGAGCAUCAGCAGUACCCUCCUACAACACAAGCCAAGUGGCACAGCUGCAGCCAUCUGGUCUGUGCUGUGAGCAGCAUGUGGGUGGCCCUGCAGCCUGGUCCAGCUUUAGGAUGUGGUUCUGGAGGAGGAAUCUGCCCUCUCAGGAUGAGCAGCACACCUGAGAGUUCAGACAAUGCUAUUCUGAGCAACUGUCCUCUGACGGUUCUAGGAUUGGUAUUCCUGGUAUUUAGAGAACUACAAUUAAUAGGGCUGCACGCCAAAAAAAGUGCAUUUCAGAUUGAUAGAAUCUUGAGGUCUAACUAUUCCGCUCAAUUUUCUGGGGAAGGCAAACAGAAACAUUUAGCUCACAUUCUAGCUCAGGCCUAGAAACUUCACAAACAAGUGUUCAUGCCUUUUAGUUUUCUUUAGAAGGAAAUGACAAGCAGAUAACCAAAUCCGUUCUGAAAUAUUUCAUCCAUAAAAGAUAUCUCAAAAAUAACCUUGAAGCUAUAAAAUAACUGUUUACCAAACCUUGCUUUACUUUGUUAUGAACACUUUAACUCGGUGCUAAAAUAAGAAAUACGCCUCAGCAAGGAGCAGGCCGUGAGAUACGUUAUCGGGUUGUAAUGAAGCAACUGACAUCCCAGCCACUGGGACAACAGCCUCUUGUGGAACACACUCAGAAAAACAAGUUUCAAGUUUUCAGUGUUGUAAAUGCUCACCUCUGAUCUUUUCAGAAGGACAAAGUCCUCUGGGCAAAGGACUAAACUCUUUUGUCGGCCAUGAAUCCCUGGUAGUGAUGCUAUGUCUGCUGUCUUGAUAGAAACUAUUCAGUUAAUGUAAAUUAGGUUCAGGACAUCCCAGUGAGCCACUUAGUGGCAAAACUUGAGAAACAGAAAAUGACAACAAAUUGAGCCUUUUGCAUAUUGGCUUGAAUUUAAGAUUUCAUAAAAGUUCUGAAAGAGAAGGCUCAUCUUAACUACAUUUUGAGACCAGAUGAUGACAGAAUAGCUGAGCUUCCAGUGAAGUCCUAUCAACACUUUGGUGGUUGGCAGCACAGCCACUGUGAUCAAUUAGGUUAAUUGAAACUAUACGGCCUGCAGGCUUUGUGUGCAGUUCUUAACAUGGUUAGAAGAGAGGCAAAUGUGUAACAGCAUGAUUUUAACUAUAAUGGGUGCAUCUGAACCCAGGCCUAAGCCAGAAUUCAAAUAACUGAGCUUUCACACUCUUUGGAUGCAAGCAGGCUGAUGUAGACACUGAAUGUAUCAAGAAAAUGAUGAGAAGGCAGAAAACUUGAAAUUAUGCAAUUUCUAACCACAGUCCUAACAAUACUACACUUCUCAGAAUCACUGAGGCUGGACGGUGCCUCUGGAGAAGAUCUGCUCCAACCCUCUGCCCACAGCAGGGUCACCUCGAGCAUGGUGCUCAGAGUGGAAUCCAGCUGGGUUUACAGUAUCUCCACAGAUGGAGACUCCACAACUGCACUGGGCAACCUGUGCCACUGCUCCAACUGCCCUCUGAGUGUGAAAGCUAUUUUCAUGUUUAAGUUGAAGCUCUUGCAUUUGCUCUGUGCCCGCUACCUCUUGUGCUUUUCACUGAGAAGAGUCUGGAUCUGUCUCCUUCAUUCUGCCUUUCAGAUAUUUAUUGGCCUUGAUAAAGUCCCCCCAGGCCUUCCUAUCUCCAGCUGUACAAUCCUGGCUGUCUCAGCCUCUUCUCAUGUGACAGAUCCUCCAAGCCCUUAGACAUCUUUCAGGCCAUUCACUGUUCUUGAUCCAGCAAUCCCCUGUCUUUCUUGUACGGUGGAGCCCUGAACUGGAUGCAGCACUCCAGAUAGGCCUCACCAGGGCUGAGUAGAGGAGGAGGAUCACCUUCCUCACCUCAGUGGGAAAGCUAUGCCCAGUGCAACCCAGGAUACCAUUGGCCUUCUCUGCCAUCAAGUCAUUUGCCAGCACAUAACCAACUUGAUGUCCACCAAGAUCCCAGGGCCUUUUCUGCAAAACUCCUUUUUCAGCUGCUUCCCUGUGGAAUGAUCCCACAGGAUACGCAACAGUGGAGCCCAACAUAGGUCAGAAGUUUAAUAUAAGCCACCCUGAGUACAAUAUCGCACCACAUCAUUCAGGUGUCUCUGGUCCAACCAAAUAAGUCACAGCACACAAAAUCAGGAUUUCUAGUUCAGUAAGAAAAGACAGCAAGCCUUUCAAUUCUCCAGAAAAAAUAUAUACUUAAAAAAAAAUACGAUAGAAAUAUGUGCAGGGUGGCAACAAUGCAAAUAGCGGGGGGAAUUGAAACUAUGGUCCUUUUCAACCCAGGCCAUUCUAUGAUUCUAUGAUUACCAGAAACUCAAAUGGAAGAAGAAAAUUUAUAGAAUGUGAAAAAAGGGUCUGGCCACUUGGGAAGAAUACAGGAAUGUUGUCAGGCCAUGUAAGGUUGCAACUAUGAAGGCUAAGGCCCACCUGGAAUUAAAUCUGUCAAAGGAGGUCAAGGACAACAAGAGAGAGAGUUUGGAGAAAGGAAUCUGGUUGAGAAAGAUCUGGUCAGAGAGCAUCUAAUCAAACAGGAUAAACACAGAUCCAUGUGACCUGAUGGGAUGCCUCCAUGAGUGCUGAGAGAUCUGGCAGAAGUGAUUUUCAAACUACCUUCUAUCAUCUAUGAAAGGUCAUGGAGAGUGGGAGAGGUGCCUGAAGACUGGGGGAAAGCCAAUAUCACGGCAGUCUUCAAAAGGGGCAAGAAGGAAGAGUUGGGAAACUACAGGCAGCCAGUCUCACCUCCAUUCCUGGGAAGGGAAUGGAACAGCUUAUUCUAAAGUCCUCUCCUAGCAUGUGGAAGAAAAGAUGAUCGGGAGUAAUCAACAUGGAUUCACUAAUGGGAAAUGGUGCUUGACCAACCUGGCAGCCUUCUAUGAUGUCAUAAAUGGCUUGGUAGUUGCAGGGAGAGCAGUGGAUGUUGUGUAUCUUGGCUACAGCACAGCUCCUGCCACUCUCACAACAUCCUUACUAGGAAACUUAGAAAGUGCAGGACUGAUGAGCAGACAGUGAGGUGCCUUGAGAACUGGCUGGCUGGCAUUGCUCAGGGGACUGUGAUCAGCAGCACAGUCUGGUUGGAGGCCAUAACUAGUGAUCCCCAGUGGUCGGUGCUGGGCCCAGUCCUUUUCAACAACUUCAUGAAUGACCUGGAUGAAGGAUAGAGUCCACCUGUGGAAAGUUUGCUGAUAAUGCAAAGCUGAGAAGAGUGGCUGAUACACUAAAGAAGCUGUGCUGCCAUGCAGAGAGACCAGGGCAGGCAGAGAGUUGGGCAGAGAAGAACCUGAUAAGGUUCAACAAGAGCAAGUGAAGGGUCUUACACCUGGGGAAGAAUAACCACAUGCAUCAAUACAGGGAGGCCACACCUGGAGUACUGUGUCCAGUUCCAGGCUCGUCAGUAAAAGAUGGGGAACUGCUGGAAAUAAAGAGGCUUCUAUCAGCGGACAUGUUAAGUAUGAAGUUCAGGAACUUCACCUUCUGGACUGCUCACUUCAUAUUAUGGAGAAAAUUGAAAAUCCUUCCAAUUGUAAGAUCUCUUCCAGCAGCCAGGGUCACCGUGCUACCUGCAACAGUCCCUCGUCUGCCACAAAUCACAUUCUAGCUGCCUGGCAUGGAAGACAGAGUGAGAUUUAAACCAGGUGAUAAUCUCCCAGUAAAGGAGCAUCUGCCAUUUUUCAGAAACAUAGUGUAUAAAUGCUGACGUUGUUAGUUAACGUUAUUUACAUGCACAUUUUACAUCUACCUGCUCAAUUUGUGUAUGUGGCUGCAGGAAAAGUUUGGGGAAAUACAGAGUAAAAAUACGUGUACAUGGUUUGUAUAUCCUGCAUUUAUGUGCAUACAUAAAAAAUAAUCCAUGAUAUUAGAAAAUAAUACUGAGCCACAAUGUUAAUGCAGUCUCUUCCACAAGCCAAAAACUUGUGUGGGUAUAUGCAUAAAGAAUGUACAUACUCAGAGAGAGACACUAACAUCUUGUAAUGCAAUAUGUUUCUGUUAUACACACUCCAGACUUCCUAACAGCUGCAUAUUUUAAUAUACAUAAACCCAUACUUGAAAAAUAAUAAAAUGUAUUAGUUUUCCACAUUAGGCAUUUAUGGCCUAAUUUAGGAGAGUAUUACAUCUUUAUAACUUUUAAAAGACCCAUUUUGAUAAAACAUCCUCAUAAACAGACUGAGAAAAUCAGGGUAACAAGCAUCUGUUGCUGCGUUGUUUUCUUAAUGGGGUAAUAAAAUAAUAACACAUUUUUAUAACUUUUCACAACAAUAUAAAGUAUUAAAAUCGAAACUGAUAUUGAAAAAUGUUCUCAUGGUCUUUUUUAUUUUAUUUUUCCACUAUGUAAAGUUGCAGCACUUACCAGAUUAAUAUUAAUAUAUCUUAAUUAUGUUGACACAAUGGAAAUUUGCCAAAGACACUCGAAGAAUGGAAAUAACUUGUUAUUUCCACUACUCUAAUUAAGGUGGUGGAUUUAGCCCAUUUUAUUCAGAAUGCAGAAGUAAUAUGAAUAUUCUUUACCAUGAGAGUGGUGAGGUGCUGGAACAGCUGCCCAGAGAGGCUGUG